UGGGGAAUCUUGCGCAAUGGGCGAAAGCCUGACGCAGCGACGCCGCGUGUGGGAUGAAGGUCUUCGGAUUGUAAACCACUGUCGGGAGGGACGAAGCUCUGACGGUACCUCCAAAGGAAGCACCGGCUAACUCUGUGCCAGCAGCCGCGGUAAUACAGAGGGUGCGAGCGUUGUCCGGAAUCACUGGGCGUAAAGCGCACGUAGGUGGGCAGUUAAGUCAGGGGUNAAAGCCCGAGGCUCAACCUCGGAAUUGCCUCUGAUACUGGCUGUCUAGAGUUCGAGAGAGGUGAGUGGAAUUCCUAGUGUAGAGGUGAAAUUCGUAGAUAUUAGGAAGAACACCAGUGGCGAAGGCGGCCAACUGGCUCGAUACUGACGCUGAGGUGCGAAAGCGUGGGGAGCAAACAGGAUUAGAUACCCGUGUAGUCC
rnacentral:rRNA from 1 species